rnacentral:rRNA from 1 species
CCUACGGGAGGCAGCAGUAAGGAAUAUUGGACAAUGGAGGCAACUCUGAUCCAGCCAUGCCGCGUGAAGGAAUAAGGCCCUAUGGGUUGUAAACUUCUUUUAGACGGGACAAACCCUUACGUGUAAAGGGUUGAUGGUACUGUCAGAAUAAGCAUCGGCUAACUUCGUGC